ensembl:snoRNA SNORD12 small nucleolar RNA, C/D box 12
GCCUCUGCAGCUGGUGACGAGCUCAACCCUGUUGAUCCAACUGAACUUUUAGCCAGUUUUGUCUGAUGCAUUGGC